GAUGAACGCUGGCGACGUGCCUAAUACAUGCAAGUCGAGCGAACAGACGAGGAGCUUGCUCCUCUGACGUUAUCGGCGGACGGGUGAGUAACACGUGGAUAACCUACCUAUAAGACUGGGAUAACUUCGGGAAACCGGAGCUAAUACCGGAUAAUAUAUUGACCCUCAUGGUUCACUAGUUAAAUACGGUUUUUCUGUCACUUAUAGAUUGAUCCGCGCCGCAUUAGCUAGUUGGUAAGGUAACGGCUUACCAAGGCGACGAUGCGUAGCCGACCUAAGAGGGUGAUCGGACACACUGGAACUGAGAAACGGUCCAGACUCCGACGGGAGGCAGCAGUAGGGAAUCUUACGCAAUGGGCGAAAGCCUGACGGAGCAAAGCCGCGGGAGUGAUGAAGGUCUUCGGAUCGUAAAACUCUGUUAUUAGGGAAGAACAAAUGUGUAAGUAACUAUGCACGUAUUGACGGUACCGAAUCAGAAAGCCACGGCUAACUACGUG
rnacentral:rRNA from 1 species